rnacentral:lncRNA from 1 species
UUAAUUAUACAACUACUAGUAAAUCUAAACCCAUAAUCCAUAAUCGACUAAACCACUACCAAAAGAAAAACCCAAAUAUAAUUAAACUCAAACCACAAUCACGUAAAUCCUUACAUAAUAGCACAUAAUGAAGUAGAAGUAAUCAGAGGCUAGGAACCGAGAUCCACAGCACGAACUAUCUAGGCACUAACUAUCACGUCCUCACACUGCGCCCCGACCCGCACUGUCAACAACACCUGUAAA